GUGGGAGGCAGCGGUAACUGGUUGGUUGGUAGUUAGCUAGGACUCCGGUACACAAGGCGGGAGGCAGCGGUAACUGGUUGGUUGGUAGCUAGCUAGGACUCCGUUACACAAGGCGGGAGGCAGCGGUAACUGGUUGGUUGGUAGCUAGCUAGGACUCCGGUACACAAGGCGGGAGGCAGCAGUAACUGGUUGGUUGGUAGCUAGCUAGGACUCCUGUACACAAGGCGGGAGGCAGCGGUAACUGGUUGGUUGGUAGCUAGCUAGGACUCCUGUACACAAGGCGGGAGGCAGCGGUAACUGGUUGGUUGGUAGCUAGCUAGAACUCCGUUACACAAGGCGGGAGGCAGCAGUAACUGGUUGGUUGGUAGCUAGCUAGGACUCUGUUACACAAGGCGGGAGGCAGCAGUAACUGGUUGGUUGCUAGCUAGGACUC